rfam:Heterocephalus glaber contig149721, whole genome shotgun sequence.
CUCUCGCCUCUCUCCCUCCCUCCCGCCUCCCCUUUCCCAGCCUCUGGCAUCAUUAUCCUCAGCGCUAAGUCCUCUCAGAGUGCAGGGCGGAAAGCAGUGCACAC